GACAGAGGUGCCAAGCGUUAGGCGGAAUCACUGGGCUUAAAGCGUGUGUAGGCGGAUCGUUAAGUACCUUGUGAAAUCCCACGGCUCAACCGUGGAACUGCUGGGUAUACUGGCGGUCUUGAGCCACCUAGGGGCAACUGGAACAAGCGGUGGAGCGGUGAAAUGCGCAGAUAUCGGGAGGAACACCAAUGGCGAAGGCAGCUCUCUGGACCGAGACUGACGCUGAGGCGCGAAAGCGUGGGGAGCAAACAGG
rnacentral:rRNA from 1 species